GACGUAGGGCGCGAGCGUUGUCCGGAAUUAUUGGGCGUAAAGAGCUCGUAGGCGGUUUGUUGCGUCGGCUGUGAAAACCUGCGGCUUAACUGUGGGCUUGCAGUCGAUACGGGCAGACUUGAGUUCGGCAGGGGAGACUGGAAUUCCUGGUGUAGCGGUGAAAUGCGCAGAUAUCAGGAGGAACACCGGUGGCGAAGGCGGGUCUCUGGGCCGAUACUGACGCUGAGGAGCGAAAGCGUGGGGAGCGAACAGG
rnacentral:rRNA from 1 species